rnacentral:rRNA from 1 species
AUUGAACGCUGGCGGCAGGCCUAACACAUGCAAGUCGAGCGAGCGGCGGACGGGUGAGUAAUGUAUGGGGACUGCCCGAUAGAGGGGGAUAACGACUGGAAACGGUGGCUAAUAACGCAUAAUAUCGGAUAACCAAUAUGGGAGUAGUUAGUAGGUGGGGUAAAGGCUCACCUAGGCGACGAUCUCUAGCUGGUCUGAGAGGAUGAUGAGCCACACGUGGACUGAGACACGGCCCAGACUCCUACGGAGGCAGCAGUGGGGAAUAUUGCACAAUGGGCGCAAGCCUGAUGCAGCCAUGCCGCGUGUGUGAAGAAGGCCUUAGGGUUGUAAAGUACUUUCAGCUGGGCGGCGUUACCCGCAGAAGAAGCACCGGCUAACUCCGUGCCAGCAGCCGCGGUAAUAC